UAACAUUAUGUCCCAUCAUCAGUGGGUACCUUGCCCAAAGAAUGUAUGAAAUCUCCAGACUGGGAACCUGAGCAAGGACAGGGACAAUGAUCCCAGGGGAGAGGUCAGCUCUGCCCUUUUGUUUAAGUGUCUAGGCAAAAGCUUUCUUACAGACCAGAAGGGGCCAGUUUAUUGUCACACACCAUGAGUGCCACCAGGUGGCGAGAUUCCCUUAAUUUCGUCAGUAUCAAGUCCUUUAAAGGUGUAAGAGUAUAACCGUCUACAAAUUCUUGGGCUUAAAAACACAAAAUUAAAACGAAGAGAGGUUGCUUACCUUGGGACUAUAGGCAAUUGGAGCUAAACACAAGAAAUAAGCUUGUGCAACCGGAUGGAGCUCCAGGCUUUGGCUGAAUCUGUGAGGAAGAAGAUGGGGCUUCACGUGGUGAAAUCCCAGACUCCCGAGGUUUCGUUUAUUGGAUGGUUUUGGUUUUUUGAGACAGUGUAGUUUUGACUAUCCUGGAACUUGAGACCUCGAACUCAGAGAUUCGCCUAGCUCUGGCUCCUGAGCGCUGCAGCUAAAGGCACGCGCCACCACGUGUGUUCUGGUUGGUUUUUGUGUUGAGUUCUAGGUCAUGCUGGUCUUUCUUCUUAAAAGCCCUUUAGAAAGCCAUACCGAAGACGAUCUAGUUAUAAUAAAUAGUCACAGAGGGAGGAAUGGACUCCCGAGUCUUCCUGUUCUGUGACAAAUCAACGCACAAAACACCCGAGAUCACAAAAUACAACCACUAGAUUUUGCAUAAUAAUAUUUUCAAGAGUUUCACCACAGGCUUCCUGCGAGAGUAAGUUUGAGUUCUGUAUUAAGAAUCUGAGGUGUGUUCUUUUGUUUGGUUGUUUUGUUGUUGUUUUGGUUUUUGUUUUUAAGUGAAGCAGAAUUUAAGUCGACCUUUCUAAAUUCUCUUUGCUCCCAAGGGAGGGCUCUGUGAAGCCUGGAGUCUCAACAAUUUGGCCCUGCCUCCUGUUAUUACAGGCGGUGGCCUUCCCCACACCAUUGCUGCCUAUGAGUUUUCUUGGUGAUAGGGUCUCUCCCAUUACUGGCAGCCAGCAGCGCCAUGAGAUUCUCCUGACAGUUGGCCAUAUCGGCUUUUUGCACGGAUGAUGGGGAUUUGAACAUGAGAUUCUCCUGACAGUUGGCCAUAUCGGCUUUUUGCACGGAUGAUGGGGAUUUGAACAUGAGAUUCUCCUGACAGUUGGCCAUAUCGGCUUUUUGCACGGAUGAUGGGGAUUUGGACACAGUUUUUCAUGCUUGAGCCAUAGCUGCUCUUACCACUGAACCAUCUUCCCAGCACAAUCGCUGCUACUUUUUUUUCUUUCUUGGCAAAUCAGUUCAUCUCUGUAGUUUUCUAUUAUUUUAGACAUUUACUAUAGUUUGGCAUAAAAUCCAUUAUUGAUGUCAGAUAUUUUCUUUAACCAGCUUUUUUUAUAUAUAUUCUUGAAAUAAAGGGCUAAAUAUAUAUAUUUUUUCAUCUGUGAGUCAUGAAAAUCUUAAGGAGAAUUUUUCUUUUUCUCUCUUUUCUUCUUUCCUUCCAAGUUGAAAGCAGUGAAGCCAGAAAGAAAAUUAACUGUGAUGGGGAUUAUUUCAGAUGUAUCGAUAUCAUUUCCCCCGGCUGGGAAAUGUUAAACUUUGUAAACUCUGAAGCACACAAAGUGUUCCUUCCCAUUUUACUUUAAUAAAAAUAAAAGCAAAUGCAUCCAGU
rnacentral:lncRNA from 1 species